rnacentral:rRNA from 1 species
UUGACCUCGGAUCAGGUAGGGAUACCCGCUGAACUUAAGCAUAUCUAGA